GGGUCCGUAGCUCAGCUUGGAUAGAGCAACUCCGUCCUAAGGAGAAGGUCGAGGGUUCAAAUCCCUCCGGGCCCU
rnacentral:tRNA from 1 species